UCUACAGCCAUAACCAUCCUGAAUGCACCUGAUCUCGUCUGAUCUCAGAAACUUAGCAGGGUCAGGCUUGGUUAGUACUUGGAUGGGAGACAACCUUGGAAUACUGGGUGCCUGUAGGC
ensembl:rRNA n-R5s10 nuclear encoded rRNA 5S 10